rnacentral:rRNA from 1 species
UGGAGAGUUUGAUCCUGGCUCAGGACGAACGCUGGCGGCGUGCUUAACACAUGCAAGUCGAACGGAAAGGUCUCUUCGGAGAUACUCGAGUGGCGAACGGGUGAGUAACACGUGGGUAAUCUGCCCUGCACUUCGGGAUAAGCCUGGGAAACUGGGUCUAAUACCGAAUAGGACCACUUGGCGCAUGCCUUGUGGUGGAAAGCUUUUGCGGUGUGGGAUGGGCCCGCGGCCUAUCAGCUUGUUGGUGGGGUGAUGGCCUACCAAGGCGACGACGGGUAGCCGGCCUGAGAGGGUGUCCGGCCACACUGGGACUGAGAUACGGCCCAGACUCCUACGGGAGGCAGCAGUGGGGAAUAUUGCACAAUGGGCGCAAGCCUGAUGCAGCGACGCCGCGUGGGGGAUGACGGCCUUCGGGUUGUAAACCUCUUUCACCAUCGACGAAGGUCCGGGUUUUCUCGGAUUGACGGUAGGUGGAGAAGAAGCACCGGCCAACUACGUGCCAGCAGCCGCGGUA